AAAUGUGUAUUUUAGUUCAUAUUCAUGGUGUGAAGUGUUUUGUGGGUUUACUAGUAUUUAGGAAGUAGUCAUACUUAGGUGUGGUCUAUCUUUUAAUCAUUUCACAGUUCUCCUUCUAUCAUUCAUUCAGUAUCUUACUAUUGGGAUCACCUCAAGAAUUACAGAUUACGGAAGCACCAAUAACACCACGUCUGCCAUCUGUGGCAAACCAAUCACUGCAGCGAUCAGGGAGUCCUGCCUCUCUGUAUUUAAAUCACAGCUACCUGCUGUUUUGUCAUUCUCGCUGUCUUCCCUGUGAAGAUUUUGGAAGUUGGCUCAACAAACUUUUAAGAGCGUUUAAAUAUGAAGCAGCAAGGUGACAUCCCGAACACAAUACAUUCACAACGCUGCACAAUCUCACUUAAAGUGAGAUACUAACAUGUCAAGUUUUCGAAGAGCUGAGGAGCCCUGGAGGAAAAAGUCAUCAUCCCCAUCCCGGUGCUUGUGGAAUGUGGAUAUCGGGUGAAGGUUUCACACAGCUUCUGCAUUUCCUGUUUGGGCAUUAAACAGGUUUAGGGAGCUGUGUCCAACCUCGAAAGAUGUCCUCACUGCAUGAAGUUCUCAACUAAAUCCAGAGAGAGGAGACUCUGCGUGGCAGUAGCUGGGAAGUUGGACCCAUGCCUCUCUGCUCAACUCAUAAAAGGACAGAUGGAUUGUCUCCAAGUUGUCAGCUCAUGGGGGGAGAUGGUGGAACUUAAGUAUUGUCGACCAUCCUCAAGGAUGAAAAUGAUGACGCUAUUCUUCCUCCCAAAUCAAUCAUGCCCGCUGAGUGCACAGGAUGAGAGGCUAAAUCUAAAUGUAGCUGGGUUACCUCUGAAAGUGAGAUAGACAAUUCAGAAUGUGAGGGCUGCCUUGACAUGUUCUUUAUAUAAUCUCAAAUGAAGGGUGUUUGAGGGAUGAUGCACAAAUAGAAACAUCGCUCCUUUCUUGUGUUCAGUUUCAGAUAUGCUGUGCUUCAUUUAGGACCUCCUGGAUAAUGGCAAAGCCUUUUCUACAGUUAAGGUUUAUCUGUCCUCUAUCUGUACAAUAACAAUAACAAUAACAAUAUUGUGUUAUGGGGCCAAUCGUGGCCUAAUGGAGACAGAGUCAAACUUUGAAGGCUGCAGGAUCGAGCCUCAAGUCCGACAAAAAUUGUUGGUGAGGGGAGUGAAUAACCAGAGGCCCUUGAGCAAGGCACUGAACCCCCAGCUGCCCAGCAGAACUGGCUGCCCACUGCUCCAGAGCAAAAAUACGCCAAGUAAGUGUCCAUGCUUCUUGAUCAUCUAUACACACCCCAGCUGUGUUGACAGCAGCUCCAUAACCGGUGGAGACGCCGCAGCCGAGCAGACACACUCUGUCGAGUGGGGCAUCAUCAUGGAUCUUGACCAAAUAAAUCUGGUUGAUGACGAUGUACUCAGAAAAGAACCUGCAUUCUCCACAUUGAGCAACCGAGACUGGGAUAACCUUAUCACCUGUUCACCACAAUACACAGAUGGUUUUUUGAUGUUGUUAUUACACCAGCAUAUUUACACUAAGAGUUAUAGGGAACAAAAAAAAAAUCAUUU